UGUAGUUCUUCUUAUCCUGUAGCUUGGGAUUUCGGGUUUCAAAAGAAUUGAAUGAAUAAGAGGUGGUACUGAUAUCUGAAUUAUCGGUUUGAUUAGAAAAUAUACUGGAGGGUAACCAUCUGGGAGUGUUCGUCCUGAUACAAGUCAGAGAUGGGCUAGAGAAGUGGAAGAGAAAAAGCUUAUUGGCAGUGGAGCACUGGAUUUGCAGGGACAUGCCUCCAAUGUAUGGAACAACCAGCUAAACACACACUGGCUGACAGAUUUGGGAAUGCAUGUGUUGAUAUAUAGACCAUU